rnacentral:rRNA from 1 species
CGGAGGGUGCUAGCGUUGUUCGGAAUCACUGGGAGUAAAGCGGGUGUAGGCGGCCCACUAAGUCUGAUGUGAAAGCCCGGGGCUCACCCCCGGAAGUGCAUUGGAAACUGGUGGACUCGAGUCCCGGAGAGGAGGGUGGAAUUCCUGGUGUAGCGGUGAAAUGCGUAGAUAUCAGGAGGAACACCAAUGGCGAAGGCAGCUCGCUGGGACGGUACUGACGCUGAGACGCGAAAGCGUGGGGAGCAAACAGG